UUUCUUAUCCAAAUUAUUUAUUCACCUAACAUGAACUUGAGUAAUUAAUUUAGUUUGACCUCGACAAAAUAUUGUUUUACUGGAAGUCUUGGAAAUUUGUCUUGAAAGUAACCAAGAGGUUGUAGGUUUUUUUUUAUUGCAGUGAGAGCUGAUGUUCAUGGAUUUUGUGUUGAAUGUUUUGGAUUUCGAGGUGAUGAGCCUGCGUGAUUUGUAGGAUUCCGAAAAUUCAAAAUAACUAUGUAUAAUUGUAAUGUCAAAGACACUUUUCCCCGCGAAUAUCAAUGAAUGUAUUUCGAAAACAUGUCUUUACAUCAGCUUUUGUUUCUUUGACUUUGUGUGUGGUUGAGCUUAGAAGAUAACUCGGGGAACAAGCAAAAGACAACAGCGAACAAGGAGCCAAAACUUCAAAAGGGGUAGGAGCAUUCUCCAUUUUGUAAUAUUUCUAAUGCACACAUGUUUGUCUCUGUGUGCACUUUUGUCGAAACUCUGAUAAAACCAGAAACCUUUGGGCCACUUCACACCAUCUCCUUGCUUGUUCUUUCCGGCAAGCUUCUUCUUGCUUUCUCUGCCGUCUCAAUUGCCAUUAGGUCACGUCGAUCUUGAUAUAGAUCAUGAGCCAAAGGGCGUGCACGCGUGCGUGCGCAUCACCACUACUGGUAGCAUCAACAUUGGUUUAUUUUUAUGUCGUUGCACGCCCUUGUUCCGAUAGCGGGGAUGUAAGUCAUGGCGGAACUUCCAUCAGUGCGACUAGAGGUAGCCUACAACUCACCUCAGUCGUGGGAGUGGUGAAGUGGGCAGCCUUGUAGGCGGGUGUGUUUCCUACGGCGGUGAUUCGUGCAUCGGCUCAACGAGGCUUGAGAGAGAAAAGGGGCUUAAUCCAACAUAAGAGGAUUGAUGGAUGGUGGCGGCCAUAUCCAGCACGCAGCCCCACAAUGACACAAGACAUAUUAUUCGCUCAAGUUAUUUGUCUUCCAAGUGAUACAAGUGAAAUGAUCUAGAUGACGACUAGAGGGGGUGCUACCUCUUGAGCAUGCGUUGGUUUUCCGUUGAAGAGGAAAG